CCGGCGCACGGGUGAGUAACACGUAUCCAACCUGCCGUCUACUCUUGGACAGCCUUCUGAAAGGAAGAUUAAUACAAGGUGGCAUCAUGAGUUCACAUGUUCACAUGAUUAAAGGUAUUCCGGUAGACGAUGGGGAUGCGUUCCAUUAGAUAGUAGGCGGGGUAACGGCCCACCUAGUCUUCGAUGGAUAGGGGUUCUGAGAGGAAGGUCCCCCACAUUGGAACUGAGACACGGUCCAA
rnacentral:rRNA from 1 species